rnacentral:rRNA from 1 species
UACGUAGGUGACCAGCGUUGUCCGGAUUUACUGGGCGUAAAGCGUGCGCAGGCGGUUCGCUAAGACAGAUGUGAAAUCCCCGGGCUUAACCUGGGAACUGCAUUUGUGACUGGCGGGCUAGAGUAUGGCAGAGGGGGGUAGAAUUCCACGUGUAGCAGUGAAAUGCGUAGAGAUGUGGAGGAAUACCGAUGGCGAAGGCAGCCCCCUGGGCCAAUACUGACGCUCAUGCACGAAAGCGUGGGGAGCAAACAGG